rnacentral:tRNA from 1 species
GCACAGGUGGCCGAGUGGUUAAUGGCAGCAGACUGUAAAUCUGCCACGCUAAGCGUUACGGAGGUUCGAAUCCUCCCCUGUGCA